AAAGCAUGUUAUUUAGAAAUAGGCUAAAUACCAGAAGAAGCUGCUGUGUGAGUCAAAAGUGACUCCUUCCAGAACUUGGGAAUGGGAGGAGGAAGGGGAGAGAGACAGCUCUGGAGGAGUCAGUUACAUGGCUUCCCCCCAGGCCACUCCUAGAGUCGUGCACAAGGUGUGCCCUAGUUACAAACCUUGUCCUGUCAGUAUUUGACUUUUUAAAUGAUGCAUACGUAUUGCUUUGAUAAAAACAGAAACAAAGAUUGUUCUGAAAUUAAUAACAUCCGUAACUUCAAAGGUGAUUAUUACAGGUGACUAAGGUAAUCAAAAGUUAUUUUAAACUUUUGUCUUUAAGCAUUGAAGUGAUCUUAUUACUGUCUGUCACGACAAUCUUUUCAAUUUGGAAUUCUUCUUUUUUUCUUUUUUUUCAGUUUGUAUGCCAGAAGAAGGGUUUAAAGGUACUGGUCUUCUUGGACAUUAAUCUUUGAAUACUUGCUGACUGCUAAGAAAUGACCAGAGGGGAAGAGGAGUUUGACAUGUUAGGGCAUUAAAGCAAAGGUGGAUUUAAGAAUUAAACCAUUACAUGCCCCUUCCAAAAGGCAGAAAUCCAUUCAAACGUGACUGUCCCAAAUGCCUUAUGUCAAAUAAAGCAGAUUGCACUGAUGGACAUCAGACUUGAAGGAAAUGUUUCCAAUUUUA
rnacentral:sRNA from 1 species